rnacentral:misc_RNA from 1 species
CUUUCAUAUCAUCUGAACGAUUUCCCACGUAAAAGUAGGAUUUUUGCUGCGUCUUAUGUCGACUUUGAGCGACGUGUGCGAAACGAACGGCGACUCUUCGAUCGAAAAACCUGCCAUCCCCACUUUACGCUCACUUGCGUUCCCGCGGAUGGUGCGCGCGCGCAGCAUCGUAAUUCCCUUUUUUACCCGCGAAAUUUCACCUGCAAUCCGCUCGCGGGACGCGCGUUUCGAGUCCGUUACACUCGUGGAAAAAAAAAAACAUCUGGGGGGUAAGAAGCGGCGACGCGAGGAAGAAACGCGGGAUAUGCCCCGCACAGUCGGAUGUGUGGAAGGUAAUGUGGGGAUAUGUUGCAACGGCGAGGUAUGGAACUAGCAAGAAAGGGUAAUACGUGAGAUAUUCUUUGGGAAGAAUUCCCGGUUUUUGCCUCCUAUCGAUAACCGAUCUCCGGCUUCUUAACAAGUGCACUUUAAUAAAGUGCCCCGAGGGGGACCGAAAGAAACGUCCGCGGUAAAUCACUCGAUAAUUUAUUUUAUCAUCCCCCUACCUAGCGGGAGUUAAGAUUACUUUAAGCGUACUUUCUUACGUUGCAAUACGACACGAGAAUUAAAUACUCGAUUGUUUAGCGACCCCUUUGCGGUGGCACGUGAGAUGAGCUCGCGAGUACGUCGCAAUCCCGCUUGUUACAAGAAAGACUCGAGUUCUUGCGUUUAAGGAGCGUAAUGACGCUCAUCCUCCGGUCUAAGGCCGAAGUCUCGAGCAUACAGGUGGCUGUGCCCCCUAGUUGUUAAUUUUUUUUUCAUGGGUCUAUAAAUCCCGAAGAAUAAAUAAAUCCAUCCAAUGCCUCAAGAAUCACGGUCGUACCCUCCAUGCGCCGCACGAACUCCAGCUCCAGAGCCCUCUCUGUACUUUUCUGGUUAAUAAAAUUGAUACACUGGGAUUAUGAUCGCCGCACCUCAAGUCCACUCGAGGAGUCACGUGUAAUUAUUCCGGUCGUCAUUUUUCAGUGGUGCAAACGUCGGUCCCCCAGAACGAGGCCGAGCUGCAGCUCUACAGAGUAAUGCAACGCGCCUCCCUUCUAGGGUACUACGACACUCUUCUGGAAAUGGGUGGUGACGACGUGCAGCAGCUCUGCGACGCCGGCGAGGAGGAGUUUCUGGAGAUCAUGGCCUUGGUCGGCAUGGCCAGCAAGCCGCUUCACGUGAGGAGACUUCAGAAAGCUCUUCAAGAGUGGCUGACAAAUCCUGCCUUGUUUCAGACUCCGGUCGUGCCGCCCAGUGCCACCUGUAAGACCACCACCGUGGGGUUCCCCUGCGUCAGCCCGAGGCCCCAAGUGAACUCAAGCUUCCAGGCAAUCUCGCAGACGCCGGCGCCCUACGUCGCAACGCACGUUCCGCUGACGCCUCUACCCUGCCGUAGUGCCAGUCCCGUUGUGCCUGUUACUCCCGUUAUUGCCCCCGUGGCCUCUUCCACCUUCAGGCAGAGCCCCAGCCCCAACGCGCCUCCACCUUACGCGGCCUCGCACAGCCCUGGGAUACUCCAGGUUGGCACGUGCGAGUCGUCCUGCGGAAGUGGAACGACGCCCAGCCCCAGCGCAGGUGGAGCACCUGCGAGCCCCACGCAACCCACGCCAACGUUGCUGCAGUCGCAGGUGCAACGGCUGGCCGAAGCUGCGGAGAGAUUGGCCGCCACGAUACGACCCCUCGACCCCAAGCCGCAUAACGUGAAGAAGAAGAUAUGCAAGAAUCUCGAGAUGGUGAUGGCCAUGCCUGACAGCGACCCUAGGAGGAUGGAGGAAAUCCGGAAGUAUGCCGCAAUAUACGGGAGGUUCGACUGCAAAAGGAAACCGGAGAAGCCGCUGACGUUGCACGAGGUGUCGGUGAACGAGGCUGCGGCCCAGAUCUGCAGAUUCGUGCCGGCCCUGCUCACCAGGAGGGACGAGCUCUUCCCCUUGGCGAGACGAGUCGUCAGGGAUUCCGGGUACCAUUACUCUAAGAGCCAGUACCUGUCCAUGACGAGGACUAGGGAGAACGGUGACGAGUCGGAGACCGAACGGUCGAAGAGGCGACAUCUCGACCUCAAGGGUGAGGGCGAGGAUGAGGACGCGACGCAGGCCGAGUUGGAUCUUCGCUGUUCCGGCGCAGACGUUAAUAGUUCCGGUAUCAGGAGGCAUGGCUCGUCGAGUUUGGCACAGGAAGAGUAACAACGGUAUGUUUGGCACGAGCGUAGAGGAGAUCAGUGACUCGGAUAGCCAGUUUUCGUUCUCCAACGAGGAAUCGUCGUCUCUACACGACACGAACGAAGCAGAGGCCGACGUGACGGAUAAAGAAAGCGACUUCAACCUGAAG